rnacentral:rRNA from 1 species
CCCUAGCCCUUCAGAGGGGGACAACAGUUGGAAACGACUGCUAAUACCGCAUACGAUCUAACCUCGGCAUCGAGGAUGGAUGAAAAGGUGGCCUCUAUUUAUAAGCUAUCACUGAAGGAGGGGAUUGCGUCUGAUUAGCUAGUUGGAGGGGUAACGGCCCACCAAGGCGAUGAUCAGUAGCCGGUCUGAGAGGAUGAACGGCCACAUUGGGACUGAGACACGGCCCAG